rnacentral:rRNA from 1 species
GACGAACGCUGGCGGCGUGCUUAACACAUGCAAGUCGAACGGAAAGGCCCUGCUUUUGUGGGGUGCUCGAGUGGCGAACGGGUGAGUAACACGUGAGUAACCUGCCCUUGACUUUGGGAUAACUUCAGGAAACUGGGGCUAAUACCGGAUAGGAGCUCCUGCUGCAUGGUGGGGGUUGGAAAGUUUCGGCGGUUGGGGAUGGACUCGCGGCUUAUCAGCUUGUUGGUGGGGUAGUGGCUUACCAAGGCUUUGACGGGUAGCCGGCCUGAGAGGGUGACCGGCCACAUGGGGACUGAGAUACGGCCCAGACUCCUACGGGAGGCAGCAGUGGGGAAUAUGGCACAAUGGGCGGAAGCCGGAUGCAGCAACGCCGCGUGCGGGAUGACGGCCUUCGGGUUGUAAACCGCUUUCGCCUGUGACGAAGCGUGAGUGACGGUAAUGGGUAAAGAAGCACCGGCGAACUACGU